UGGGGAAUAUUGCACAAUGGGGGAAACCCUGAUGCAGCGACGCCGCGUGAGUGAAGAAGUAUUUCGGUAUGUAAAGCUCUAUCAGCAGGGACGAUAAUGACGGUACCUGACUAAGAAGCCCCGGCUAACUACGUGCCAGCAGCCGCGGUAAUACGUAGGGGGCAAGCGUUAUCCGGAUUUACUGGGUGGAAAGGGAGCGUAGACGGUGUGGUAAGUCAGGUGUGAAAGCCCGGGGCUCAACCCCGGGAUUGCACUUGAAACUAUCAUGCUAGAGUGCAGGAGAGGUAAGUGGAAUUCCUAGUGUAGCGGUGAAAUGCGUAGAUAUUAGGAGGAACACCAGUGGCGAAGGCGGCUUACUGGACUGUAACUGACGUUGAGGCUCGAAAGCGUGGGGAGCAAACA
rnacentral:rRNA from 1 species